rnacentral:lncRNA from 1 species
ACAACAGAGAGGAGUUAGUUUGCAAGAGGAGGCAUUAUCUUCAUGGUGGAGACAAACUGUCGAGCCCGGAGUAGAAAGGGAAGGGGAAAAGGAAGAAACUGAAGAAUGGUCGAGAAAGGGAAGGGGAAAAGGAAGAAACUGAAGAAUGGUCGAUAUUCUGACGACGACGACGACGACGUAGUAUCGCUGUGCCAUCACCCAUCUUGUGAGCUGUUGAGGGAGAACAACCACAGGCUGCAGAGGGAAAAUGAUUCUCUCUAGGCAAAAAUAGCAACAUUGAAAUUGCUGCCAGACGCUUUGCAGAAGAUGGAGGAGUUUCUCCGCUCAGCACCAAGACCAACGACAACACCAAUACCAACACCAAGACCAGAACCAUCACUAUCACCAGCACCAACAGCAGUUCCACCACCAGCAACAGAAGACCCAUCACCAGCUCCAGGUCCAUCAUCAGCAUCAGCAACAGAGGCCCUGGGCCACUCUGUCAUUCCAAAAGGACUUGUGGAGCGCUGCUCCUUCCAAAGCCCCCAGAAGUUCAUAAAUGAUCUCCUACAUGGGAUGUAUACCAGGGAAUAUAUGGCAGGCCAUUCAGUGACUGGCCAGUCAUCCAGCAGCUGCACAGAAGGAAAACCUGGCCUAGCCAAACAGGACCUUGUUGAAAUAACAAAUGCUGCAAAGUUGAAGUUCACCUACGUAACUGAUACGAACAUAAAAGCAUUUAUACGACAAAAGCUGAACAAUGCUGCCAAAUUUCAGAAACAAUAAAUUAUCAACUGUU